rnacentral:rRNA from 1 species
AACGAACGCUGGCGGCGUGGAUAAGACAUGCAAGUCGAACGGAUUAUCUUCUGUAGCAAUACAGGAGGUAGUCAGUGGCGCAAGGGUGCGUAACACGUGGGCAACCUGCCCGGAAGUGGGGGAUAGCUCGCCGAAAGGCGAAUUAAUACCGCAUGUGACUACUGGUGGAAUCACCGGGACGUCAAAGUCGGGGCAACCUGACGCUUCUGGAUGGGCCCGCGGCCUAUCAGCUUGUUGGUGAGGUAACGGCUCACCAAGGCAAUGACGGGUAGCUGGUCUGGGAGGACGACCAGCCACACUGGAUCUGAGACACGGUCCAGACACCUACGGGUGGCAGCAGUCGAGAAUUUUUCUCAAUGGGGGAAACCCUGAAGGAGCGACGCCGCGUGGAGGAUGAAGGUCUUCGGAUUGUAAACUCCUGUCAUUGGUGAACAAGGCCCUGGGAGUAACUGCCCUUGGGCUUGAUAGUAGCCGAAGAGGAAGAGACGGCUAACUCUGUGCCAGCAGCCGCCGUAACAC